GACGGAGGAUGCAAGCGUUAUCCGGAAUGAUUGGGCGUAAAGCGUCCGCAGGUGGCAGUUCAAGUCUGCUGUCAAAGACCGGGGCUUAACUUCGGAAAGGCAGUGGAAACUGAACAGCUAGAGUAUGGUAGGGGCAGAGGGAAUUCCUGGUGGUAGCGGUGAAAUGCGUAGAGAUCAGGAAGAACAUCGGUGGCGAAGGCGCUCUGCUGGACCAUAACUGACACUCAGGGACGAAAGCUAGGGAGCGAAUGGG
rnacentral:rRNA from 1 species